UGACUCUGGUUUCUCUUCAUUACGCACAGCCUUUCGCGCCUUUUACUAAAGACUUCCGUGGAGAGGAACACUUACGAGUUCAACGUAUUUUUGGAGCGGCUUUGCUUCUUGCAGAGCC
ensembl:snRNA U5 U5 spliceosomal RNA